CUACGGGUGGCUGCAGGCGCGAAACCUUUACAAUGCACGAAAGUGUGAUAAGGGGAUCCCGAGUGCUUUACUUUUAAGUAAGGCUUUUGCCAAGAGUAAAAAUCUUGGCGAAUAAAUGGUGGGUAAGACUGGUGCCAGCAGCCGCGGUAACACCAGCGCCAUGAGUGGCAAUCAGCAUUAUUGGGCCUAAAGCGUCCGUAGCCUGUUUAGUCUGUUUUUUGUGAAAUCGUUUGGCUUAACUAAACGUUGUGCAAAAAAUACUGCUAAACUUGAAACCGGGAGGAGUCAGAGGUAUUCUAAGGGGAGCGGUAAGAUGCUAUAAUCCUUGGAAGACCACCUGUGGCGAAGGCAUUUGACUAGAACGGCUUUGACGGUGAGGGACGAAAGCUAAGGGAGCAAACCGGAUUAGAUACCCCCGUAGUC
rnacentral:rRNA from 1 species